rnacentral:rRNA from 1 species
UAGGGAAUCUUCCACAAUGGGCGCAAGCCUGAUGGAGCAACACCGCGUGAGUGAAGAAGGGUUUCGGCUCGUAAAGCUCUGUUGUUAAAGAAGAACACGUAUGAGAGUAACUGUUCAUACGUUGACGGUAUUUAACCAGAAAGUCACGGCUAACUACGUGCCAGCAGCCGCGGUAAUACGUAGGUGGCAAGCGUUAUCCGGAUUUAUUGGGCGUAAAGAGAGUGCAGGCGGUUUUCUAAGUCUGAUGUGAAAGCCUUCGGCUUAACCGGAGAAGUGCAUCGGAAACUGGAUAACUUGAGUGCAGAAGAGGGUAGUGGAACUCCAUGUGUAGCGGUGGAAUGCGUAGAUAUAUGGAAGAACACCAGUGGCGAAGGCGGCUACCUGGUCUGCAACUGACGCUGAGACUCGAAAGCAUGGGUAGCGAACAGGAUUAGAUACCCUGGUAGUCCAUACCGUAAACGAUGAGUGCUAGGUGUUGGAGGGUUUCCGCCCUUCAGUGCCGGAGCUAACGCAUUAAGCACUCCGCCUGGGGAGUACGACCGCAAGGUUG